AACUCCACGGCGCAAUGAAAGUGAAUGCAGGUGGGAUCCCUCUCUCUCUCGUUCUUCGAGGGAGGGGGCGCACCAUCGACCGACCUAAUCUACUCCUAGACAGGUUUGAGUAGGAGCACGCGUGCUGGGACCCGAAAGAUGGUGAACUAUGCUUGAGUAGGGUGAAGCCAGAGGAAACUCUGGUGGAGGCUCGUAGCGAUUCUGACGUGCAAAUCGAUCGUCAAACUUGUGCAUAGGGGCGAAAGACUAAUCGAACCAUCUAGUAGCUGGUUCCCUCCGAAGUUUCCCUUAGGAUAGCUGGAGCUUCGUUAAACACAGUUUCAUCCGGUAAAGCGAAUGACUAGAGGUCUUGGGGACGAAACGACCUCAACCUAUUCUCAAACUUUCAAUGGGUGAGAAGUUCCACGUGCCCGAUAGACGUGCGAACACGCGAAU
rnacentral:rRNA from 1 species